UACGUAGGGUGCGAGCGUUAAUCGGAAUUACUGGGCGUAAAGCGUGCGCAGGCGGUUUUGUAAGCCAGAUGUGAAAGCCCCGGGCUCAACCUGGGAAUGGCAUUUGGGACUGCAAGGCUUGAGUGCGGCAGAGGAGACUGGAAUCCCUGGUGUAGCAGUGAAAUGCGUAGAUAUCAGGAGGAAUACCAGUGGCGAAGGCGGCCUUCUGGACUGACACUGACGCUGAGGCGCGAAAGCCAGGGGAGCAAACGGG
rnacentral:rRNA from 1 species